GAUUUCUGGCAAAUUCGGAUGGCCCGGCUCCUUCUGGGGCUGCGUGCUGUCUCUGAGUCUGCCAUCCUUCCAGAGAGCUGUGCCUACCGCUUCUGCGGCCGGGCGCUGUGAUCUGGAUCUUUUACUUUGAAAAAAUUAGAGUGUUUCAAGCAGGCUUUAUGCUAUGAAUACAUUAGCAUGGAAUAAUAAUUUAGGACUUCGGUUCUAUUUUGUUGGUUUCUAGGACUGAAGUAAUGAUUGAUAGGGAUAGUUGGGGGUGCUAGUAUUCAGCGGCCAGAGGUGAAAUUCUCGGAUUCGCUGAAGACUAACUUAUGCGAAAGCAUU
rnacentral:rRNA from 1 species